GAUGAACGCUGGCGGCGUGCCUAAUACAUGCAAGUCGAGCGAACAGACGAGGAGCUUGCUCCUCUGACGUUAGCGGCGGACGGGUGAGUAACACGUGGAUAACCUACCUAUAAGACUGGGAUAACUUCGGGAAACCGGAGCUAAUACCGGAUAAUAUAUUGAACCGCAUGGUUCAAUAGUGAAAGACGGUUUUGCUGUCACUUAUAGAUGGAUCCGCGCCGCAUUAGCUAGUUGGAAAGGUAACGGCUUACCAAGGCAACGAUGCGUAGCCGACCUGAGAGGGUGAUCGGCCACACUGGAACUGAGACACGGUCCAGACUCCUACGGGAGGCAGCAGUAGGGAAUCUUCCGCAAUGGGCGAAAGCUUGACGGAGCAACGCCGCGUGAGUGAUGAAGGUCUUCGGAUCGUAAAACUCUGUUAUUAGGGAAGAACAAAUGUGUAAGUAACUAUGCACGUCUUGACGGUACCUAAUCAGAAAGCCACGGCUAACUACGUG
rnacentral:rRNA from 1 species